AUGUUGAAUAAUUAUAGAUUUUCUUUGAACUCAUGUUUGGUUAUUUUUGUUGUAGUAUUGGUAGUUGUUCCAAGAGUUGAGUCCAUUAGAGACUUCAAAAGCUUGUUUGAAAGCCAGUUACCAAAAGGGCCAGUUCCACCAUCUGCACCUUCUCAAUGCCACAAUAAAGUUAGCCCUUUCGAAGAUAAGAAAGCUUCAUUCCCUGAUGAUUACUAUAUUGAUUGUCCAUAG